rnacentral:rRNA from 1 species
UGGGGAAUUUUGCGCAAUGGGGGAAACCCUGACGCAGCAACGCCGCGUGAGUGAUGAAGGCCUUCGGGUCGUAAAGCUCUGUCAGAGGGGAAGAAGUGUGAGGUGGCUAAUAUCCAUUUCACUUGACGGUACCUUCAAAGGAAGCACCGGCUAACUCCGUGCCAGCAGCCGCGGUAAUACGGAGGGUGCGAGCGUUGUUCGGAAUUAUUGGGCGUAAAGCGCGUGUAGGCGGUUUUUUAAGUCUGAUGUGAAAGCCCUGGGCUCAACCCGGGAAGUGCAUUGGAAACUGGGAGACUUGAAUACGGGAGAGGGCAGUGGAAUUCCUGGUGUAGGAGUGAAAUCCGUAGAUAUCAGGAGGAACACCGGUGCGAAGGCGGCUGCCUGGACCGAUAUUGACGCUGA